rnacentral:rRNA from 1 species
UGCAAGUCGAACGGUAACAGGUCUUCGGAUGCUGACGAGUGGCGAACGGGUGAGUAAUACAUCGGAACGUGCCCGAGAGUGGGGGAUAACGAAGCGAAAGCUUUGCUAAUACCGCAUACGAUCUCAGGAUGAAAGCAGGGGACCGCAAGGCCUUGCGCUCACGGAGCGGCCGAUGGCAGAUUAGGUAGUUGGUGGGAUAAAAGCUUACCAAGCCGACGAUCUGUAGCUGGUCUGAGAGGACGACCAGCCACACUGGGACUGAGACACGGCCCAGACUCCUACGGGAGGCAGCAGUGGGGAAUUUUGAACAAUGGGCGCAAGCCUGAUCCAGCCAUGCCGCGUGCAGGAUGAAGGCCUUCGGGUUGUAAACUGCUUUUGUACGGAACGAAAAGACUCUGGUUAAUACCUGGGGUCCAUGACGGUACCGUAAGAAUAAGCACCGGCUAACUACGUGCCAGCAGCCGCGGUAAUACGUAGGGUGCGAGCGUUAAUCGGAAUUACUGGGCGUAAAGCGUGCGCAGGCGGUUAUGUAAGACAGAUGUGAAAUCCCCGGGCUCAACCUGGGAACUGCAUUUGUGACUGCAUAGCUAGAGUACGGCAGAGGGGGAUGGAAUUCCGCGUGUAGCAGUGAAAUGCGUAGAUAUGCGGAGGAACACCGAUGGCGAAGGCAAUCCCCUGGGCCUGUACUGACGCUCAUGCA